GUGGGGAAUCUUGCGCAAUGGGCGAAAGCCUGACGCAGCCAUGCCGCGUGAAUGAUGAAGGUCUUAGGAUUGUAAAAUUCUUUCACCGGGGACGAUAAUGACGGUACCCGGAGAAGAAGCCCCGGCUAACUUCGUGCCAGCAGCCGCGGUAAUACGAAGGGGGCUAGCGUUGCUCGGAAUUACUGGGCGUAAAGGGCGCGUAGGCGGCCAGUUUAGUCAGAGGUGAAAGCCCAGGGCUCAACCUUGGAAUUGCCUUUGAUACUGGCUGUCUUGAGUACGGGAGAGGUGAGUGGAACUCCGAGUGUAGAGGUGAAAUUCGUAGAUAUUCGGAAGAACACCAGUGGCGAAGGCGACUCACUGGCCCGUUACUGACGCUGAGGCGCGAAAGCGUGGGGAGCAAACAGGAUUAGAAACCCGGGUAGUCC
rnacentral:rRNA from 1 species